rnacentral:misc_RNA from 1 species
GAUGAGAACGUAGCGAAAUGCGAUAAGUAGUGUGAAUUGCAGAAUUCAGUGAAUCAUCGAAUCUUUGAACGCACAUUGCGCCCUUUGGUAUUCCAAAGGGCAUGCCUGUUCGAGCGUCAUUUGUACCCUCAAGCUUUGCUUGGUGUUGGGCGUCUUGUCUCUAGCUUUGCUGGAGACUCGCCUUAAAGUAAUUGGCAGCCGGCCUACUGGUUUCGGAGCGCAGCACAAGUCGCACUCUCUAUCAGCAAAGGUCUAGCAUCCAUUAAGCCUUUUUUUCAACUUUGGACCUCGGAUCAGGUAGGGAUACCCGCUGAACUUAAGCAUAUCAAUAAGCGGAGGA